GUGCUCACUUCGGCAGCACGUAUACUAAAAUUGGAAUAAUACAGAGAAGAUCAGCAUGGCCCCUGCACAAGGAUGACAUGCAAAUUCAUGAAGAUAUUCAACACAUAUUU
rnacentral:snRNA from 1 species